CAGCUGGGUCAAUUAACUAGCAGCUUCAACAGGUUAAAACCCAGCUGGAGAUCAGGUGACACUCACUGGCCCGAGGAAACAAUGGAGAAAGCUUUUGUCAUUAAAGGUAUGAAAAGCUUUGAGUGUUCAUCUCCAUCGGAGCUUGACAGGAACUUUUUGGAGGAGCAGAGUUUGCCGUCUGCUUUGUUUCUGGAGCAGCUGUCCACGUCAAGAGCGUCAAACGACACAAUGGCUGAUGUGUCUGACACCAGGCUGUCCAUCCUGGCUUCUCUCUGCCUGUCAUCAGACGCCAUUUCUCCCUAUCCAGUAUUUCGAAUGAGCAACUUGAACACUCUAGAGACUGACAACUGCCACCUGGCUGUGCCUUUGCAGGGAAAGUCCUCCACUCCCCAAGUGCUCCCCGGAAAGCAAAAAAAAGCUGCUGGUUUUGACCGGUCGUACGGUGAUCUCACCGCCUCUCAAAUGUCAUGGGAUGUGUCUUUGAUAAAAUCAGAAAACAGCCCAAAACCCUGCCUGGAGUCCAGUGCUCUGGAGGCAACAUGGAGUCCAAAACCUCAGUCUACACAACAUUCACUAGCUGAAGUUUCUCCCUGAUGUGGAUGAAUCCCAAAAAAAAGGAUAAAUCCCAAAAAAUGGAUUUAAAUGUGAAGGAUCAAUGUGCAAGGAUUAAUGCAGAGCGCUCUGUAUGCCUUUUUAAAAAUGUUUUUUUGAACAAAAAUUUGAAAGAUUUAAAUAAAGUA